rnacentral:rRNA from 1 species
GAUGAACGCUGGCGGUAUGCUUAACACAUGCAAGUCGAACGGACUCUUCUGAGUUAGUGGCGGACGGGUGAGUAACGCGUGAGAAUCUGGCUUUGGGUUCGGGACAACCACUGGAAACGGUGGCUAAUACCGGAUGUGCCGAGAGGUAAAAGAGAAAUUGCCUGAAGAUGAGCUCGCGUCUGAUUAGCUAGUUGGUGAGGUAAAGGCUCACCAAGGCAGCGAUCAGUAGCUGGUCUGAGAGGAUGACCAGCCACACUGGGACUGAGACACGGCCCAGACUCCUACGGGAGGCAGCAGUGGGGAAUGUUCCGCAAUGGGCGAAAGCCUGACGGAGCAAUACCGCGUGAGGGAAGAAGGCUCUUGGGUUGUAAACCUCUUUUCUUAGGGAAGAACAAAAUGACGGUACCUAAGGAAUCAGCAUCGGCUAACUCCGUG